rnacentral:rRNA from 1 species
UGGGGAAUUUUGGACAAUGGGCGAAAGCCUGAUCCAGCAAUGCCGCGUGUGUGAAGAAGGCCUUCGGGUUGUAAAGCACUUUUGUCCGGAAAGAAAUCCUUGGCUCUAAUACAGUCGGGGGAUGACGGUACCGGAAGAAUAAGCACCGGCUAACUACGUGCCAGCAGCCGCGGUAAUACGUAGGGUGCAAGCGUUAAUCGGAAUUACUGGGCGUAAAGCGUGCGCAGGCGGUUUGCUAAGACCGAUGUGAAAUCCCCGGGCUCAACCUGGGAACUGCAUUGGUGACUGGCAGGCUAGAGUAUGGCAGAGGGGGGUAGAAUUCCACGUGUAGCAGUGAAAUGCGUAGAGAUGUGGAGGAAUACCGAUGGCGAAGGCAGCCCCCUGGGCCAAUACUGACGCUCAUGCACGAAAGGCGUGGGGAGCAAACAGAUUAGAUACCCUGGUAGUCCACGCCCUAAACGAUGUCAACUAGUUG